rnacentral:rRNA from 1 species
UACGUAGGGUGCGAGCGUUGUCCGGAAUUAUUGGGCGUAAAGAGCUCGUAGGCGGUCUGUCGCGUCUGCUGUGAAAUCCCGAGGCUCAACCUCGGGCUUGCAGUGGGUACGGGCAGGCUAGAGUGCGGUAGGGGAGAAUGGAACUCCUGGUGUAGCGGUGAAAUGCGUAGAUAUCAAGAGGAACACCAGUGGCGAAGGCGAGUCCCUGGACAACACCUGACACUGAGGCACGAAAGCUAGGGGAGCAAACAGG